UCAGGCUGAAGACCUUACCCGAUUAGCUGAGAGGUGGUGCAUGGUCGUCGUCAGUUCGUACUGUGAAGCAUCCUGUUAAGUCAGGCAACGAGCGAGACCCACGUCCACAGUUGCCAGCAUACCCUCCGGGGUGAUGGGUACACUGUGGAGACCGCCGCUGCUAAAGCGGAGGAAGGAGUGGGCAACGGUAGGUCAGUAUGCCCCGAAUCUCCCGGGCUACACGCGGGCUACAAUGGUUGGUACAAUGGGCAUCUACCCCGAAAGGGGAAGGAAAUCUCUUAAAGCCAAUCGUAGUUCGGAUUGAGGGCUGCAACUCGCCCUCAUGAAGCUGGAAUCCGUAGUAAUCGCGUUUCAACAGAACGCGGUGAAUACGUCCCUGCUCCUU
rnacentral:rRNA from 1 species